rnacentral:rRNA from 1 species
GCCUAAAGCGGCCGUAGCCGGUUUUACAAGUCCCCCGUUAAAUCCAGCUGCUUAACAGAUGGGCUGCGGAGGAUACUAUAAGACUAGGAGGCAGGAGAGGCAAGCGGUACUCAGUGGGUAGGGGUAAAAUCCGUUGAUCCAUUGAAGACCACCAGUGGCGAAGGCGGCUUGCCAGAAUGCGCUCGACGGUGAGGGAUGAAAGCUGGGGGAGCAAACCGGAUUAGAUACCCGGGUAGUCCCAGCUGUAAACGAUGCAGACUCGGUGAUGGACUAGCUUUAUGCUAGUCCAGUGCCGCAGGGAAGCCGUUAAGUCUGCCGCCUGGGUAGUACGGCCGCAAGACUGAAACUUAAAGGAAUUGGCGGGGGAGCACCACAAGGGGUGAAGCCUGCGGUUCAAUUGGAGUCAACGCCGGGAAUCUUACCGGGGGCGACAGCAGGGUGAAGGUCAAGCUGAAGACUUUACUAGACAAGCUGAGAGGAGGUGCAUGGCCGUCGCCAGCUCGUGCCGUGAGGUGUCCUGUUAAGUCAGGUAACGAGCGAGACCCCUGCUUCUAGUUGCUACUUUUAUUCUUCGGAGUAGAAGGGCUAAUUAGAAGGACUGCCGCCGCUAAGGCGGAGGAAGGAGGGGGCUACGGCAGGUCCGCAUGCCCCUA